rnacentral:lncRNA from 1 species
AAACAGAAUAGCAGGGACGAAAUAGAGAAAAAGGGAGAAAGAAAAAGAAAAAAAAUUUGGGAUUUCAAGGGUUCAAAUUCAAUUUGGUAAGUCAAUUUAAUUCAUUUUCUUGUAAUUAUUGAGUUUUUAUGAUCCUAGAACAAAAUACUAUUAGGUAUAUGUUGAAAUUUUGAGAGUUAGUAGAUUUUUUUUAUAUAGUUUAUGUUGAAUUUAUGGAUAAAUUAUAGAUUGAACUUAUGAAAAAUUCAAAUUAGAAUUGAGAAAAAAGAUUGAAUUGUGAAAUAGAUUGCAAUAAGGAGUAAAUUAUAAGA